GGCCAGACUCCUACGGGAGGCAGCAGUGGGGGAUAUUGCACAAUGGGGGAAACCCUGAUGCAGCGACGCCGCGUGGGCGAAGAAGUAUUUCGGUAUGUAAAGCCCUAUCAGCAGGGAAGAAGAAAUGACGGUACCUGACUAAGAAGCCCCGGCUAACUACGUGCCAGCAGCCGCGGUAAUACGUAGGGGGCAAGCGUUAUCCGGAUUUACUGGGUGUAAAGGGGGCGCAGACGGCAGCGCAAGCCAGGAGUGAAAGCCCGGGGCCCAACCCCGGGACUGCUCUUGGAACUGCGCGGCUGGAGUGCAGGAGGGGCAGGCGGAAUUCCUGGUGUAGCGGUGAGAUGCGUAGAUAUUAGGAGGAACACCGGUGGCGAAGGCGGCCUGCUGGACUGUGACUGACGUUGAGGCCCGAAGGCGUGGGGAGCAAACAGGAUUAGAUACCCGUGUA
rnacentral:rRNA from 1 species